rnacentral:rRNA from 1 species
AGCAGCCGCGGUAAUUCCAGCUCCAAUAGCGUAUAUUAAAGUUGUUGCAGUUAAAAAGCUCGUAGUUGAAUUUCGGGGUCAGUAGGCCGGUCGUGCCACCGGUACGUACUGGUCUCACUGAUUCCUCCUUCCUGAAGAACCGUAAUGCCAUUAAUUUGGUGUUGCGAGGAAACAGGACUGUUACUUUGAAAAAAUUAGAGUGUUUAAAGCAAGCUAACGCUUGAAUACAUUAGCAUGGAAUAAUGAAAUAGGACGAUCGAUCCUAUUUUGUUGGUUUCUAGGAUUGACGUAAUGAUUAAUAGGGAUAGUUGGGGGCAUUAGUAUUCAAUUGUCAGAGGUGAAAUUCUUGGAUUUAUUGAAGACUAACUACUGCGAAAGCAUUUGCCAAGGAUGUUUUCAUUAAUCAAGAACGAAAGUUAGGGGAUCGAAGACGAUCAGAUACCGUCGUAGUCUUAACCAUAAACUAUGCCGACUAGGAAUCAGACGAUGUUAAUUUUUUAAUGACUCGUUUGGCACCUUACGGGAAACCAAAGUU